GUCAAUCAGCGGCUUCGCGAUCGAAGUAAACGGAGGCUUCGUAAUGUGCGACGAAAUCGAACCAAUCGCCGCGACACAAGCAGAUCGCACCGCCGAGUCAUUAUCGCGGAGGCGCCGAAUCACAGAACUAAUUAGCUUAGACAGAUGCGGAGAGAGGAGAUUACCGUGAGAUUCCGAGAGCAGAGAAACUAACUUCACACAUUGUUUCCUCACCGGCGACUUAUCCGCCGAAUCAGUCGCCGUAAUCGACGAUAUAAACGGCGACAACGAGUCAUGACUCAGUGUCCUCGCAAUCGACU
rnacentral:lncRNA from 1 species